rnacentral:rRNA from 1 species
CACGUAGGGGGCGAGCGUUGUCCGGAUUUAUUGGGCGUAAAGAGCUCGUAGGCGGCUCAGUAAGUCGGGUGUGAAAACUCCAGGCUCAACCUGGAGACGCCACCUGAUACUGCUGUGGCUAGAGUCCGGUAGGGGAGCAUGGAAUUCCUGGUGUAGCGGUGAAAUGCGCAGAUAUCAGGAGGAACACCGGUGGCGAAGGCGCACAUCUGGCCCGAUACUGACGCUGAGGCGCGAAAGCUAGGGGAGCAAACGGG